rnacentral:lncRNA from 1 species
AAGGUUGAAGAUUGACUAAAGAUUUUGGAUUAGGAGUUUUAAGCAUUGCAACAAACAGGGUAAGUAAUUAGUUGGUGACUUUAAUCAUAUGAGAAUGGUGUAUUGAUUGUAUAGCAAGACUAUCUUUUGCUUUUUACAAACUACUUUCCAUUACAUUACAAUUGAAAAUGAAUUGAAACAAAAGAAAGGGAUGUCAAAAGCGA